rnacentral:rRNA from 1 species
UACGUAGGCAGCAAGCGUUGUUCGGAAUUACUGGGCGUAAAGAGUGUGUAGGCGGUGCUCUAAGUUUGGUGUGAAAUCUCCCGGCUCAACUGGGAGGGUGCGCCGAAAACUGGAAUGCUUGAACGUGGGAGGGGAAAGCGGAAUUCCUGGUGUAGCGGUGAAAUGCGUAGAUAUCAGGAGGAACACCUGCGGUGUAGACGGCUUUCUGGACCAUUGUUGACGCUGAGACACGAAAGCGUGGGUAGCAAACAGG